UGCCUAUACAUGCGAGUCGAACGCGAUGGCCCAAUUGAUUGAUGGUGCUUGCACCUGAUUGAUUUUGGUCGCCAACGAGUGGCGGACGGGUGAGUAACACGUAGGUAACCUGCCCAGAAGCGGGGGACAACAUUUGGAAACAGAUGCUAAUACCGCAUAACAACGUUGUUCGCAUGAACAACGCUUAAAAGAUGGCUUCUCGCUAUCACUUCUGGAUGGACCUGCGGUGCAUUAGCUUGUUGGUGGGGUAACGGCCUACCAAGGCGAUGAUGCAUAGCCGAGUUGAGAGACUGAUCGGCCACAAUGGGACUGAGACACGGCCCAUACUCCUACGGGAGGCAGCAGUAGGGAAUCUUCCACAAUGGGCGCAAGCCUGAUGGAGCAACACCGCGUGAGUGAAGAAGGGUUUCGGCUCGUAAAGCUCUGUUGUUAAAGAAGAACACGUAUGAGAGUAACUGUUCAUACGUUGACGGUAUUUAACCAGAAAGUCACGGCUAACUACGUGCCAGCAGCCGCGGGUAAUACGUAGGUGGCAAGCGGUUAUCCGGAUUUAUUUGGGCGUAAAGAGAGUGCAGGCGGUUUUCUAAGUCUGAUGUGAAAGCCUUACGGCUUAACCCGGAGAAGUGCUUCGGAAACUGGAUAACUUGAGUGCAG
rnacentral:rRNA from 2 species